UGCAUAUCAAUAAGCGGAGGAAAAGAAACCAACCGGGAUUGCCUUAGUAACGGCGAGUGAAGCGGCAAAAGCUCAAAUUUGAAAUCUGGUACCUUCGGUGCCCGAGUUGUAAUUUGGAGAGGGCAACUUUGGGGCCGUUCCUUGUCUAUGUUCCUUGGAACAGGACGUCAUAGAGGGUGAGAAUCCCGUGUGGCGAGGAGUGCGGUUCUUUGUAAAGUGCCUUCGAAGAGUCGAGUUGUUUGGGAAUGCAGCUCUAAGUGGGUGGUAAAUUCCAUCUAAAGCUAAAUAUUGGCGAGAGACCGAUAGCGAACAAGUACAGUGAUGGAAAGAUGAAAAGAACUUUGAAAAGAGAGUGAAAAAGUACGUGAAAUUGUUGAAAGGGAAGGGCAUUUGAUCAGACAUGGUGUUUUGUGCCCUCUGCUCCUUGUGGGUAGGGGAAUCUCGCAUUUCACUGGGCCAGCAUCAGUUUUGGUGGCAGGAUAAAUCCAUAGGAAUGUAGCUUGCCUCGGUAAGUAUUAUAGCCUGUGGGAAUACUGCCAGCUGGGACUGAGGACUGCGACGUAAGUCAAGGAUGCUGGCAUAAUGGUUAUAUGCCGCCCGUCUUGAACCCCCGGACCA
rnacentral:rRNA from 2 species